UUUCAAUAAAUUGGCUAAAUGGUCAACGGAAUUUAACUCUUCAUACGGUCAAAACAAUUCACGUUGCAUGCGGCAUAUUUCGAGUGCACUUGAAAACAGAUAUUUAUCUUAUUUCAGUUUUCGGAAGUUAGCGAAAAUCUGUUCCUCUUCAUCAGACAGUGGCUCGAGUUUUCACAAGAGGCCGUGUUCACGUCGUUCACCACUUCAUCACGAGUGUAUUUGUUUUACAGUCCUUCUUUGGGUGGCAGAAUUGGCAUCUCCUCCUCUUGCCUGCCCCAGCUGCAGCCUCAGGUGGAUCAGGACAAGAUUCAGCCCCCUCAACAGCUUUCACAAGCGCUGCAGAGGCUGGUGUGGGGGGAGGCGCUCCCUCCUUUGAAUGUGUGGGGUUUACAAGUGCCUUGCCCAGCUGCUCCAGGAACACCCUCCUCUUGUUCCGCUUAUCAAGCAUCCAGGUUGUCCAUGCCUCCUUUGAUGUGGUUGUAGUCCAGGAUGACGGCUGGCUUCCUGUCCUCACGAUCACUGAUCUCAGCCGUUUUGUGCAGUGUGCUCAGGAGGACCACAUUCUUGUUCCUCUUUGGGAGGUAGGAAACUAGAGUGGUGGUGGGGGUGAAGGCAAACUUUGAUGAGAAGGCCUCUCUCCCCCUUGUUGUGAGGAUUGCAGCGAAGAGCUUGUUCUUGUUCUUUCUAGCUGUGCCAACCAUGGUGAUCUUCCUCUUCAGGAUCUGCUGGCUGAGUUCAAUCAGUAAC
ensembl:lncRNA